UACGUAGGGGGCAAGCGUUAUCCGGAAUUACUGGGUGUAAAGGGUGAGUAGGCGGCAUGAUAAGUAAGAUGUGAAAGCCCGCGGCUUAACUGCGGGAUUGCAUUUUAAACUAUUGAGCUAGAGUACAGGAGAGGAAAGCGGAAUUCCCAGUGUAGCGGUGAAAUGCGUAGAUAUUGGGAAGAACACCAGUGGCGAAGGCGGCUUUCUGGACUGAAACUGACGCUGAGGCACGAAAGCGUGGGGAGCGAACAGG
rnacentral:rRNA from 1 species